GAAAUGCGAUAAGUAAUGUGAAUUGCAGAAUUCAGUGAAUCAUCGAAUCUUUGAACGCACAUUGCGCCCGCCAGUAUUCUGGCGGGCAUGCCUGUUCGAGCGUCAUUACAACCCUCAGGCCCCCGGGCCUGGCGUUGGGGAUCGGCGGAAGCCCCCUGCGGGCACAACGCCGUCCCCCAAAUACAGUGGCGGUCCCGCCGCAGCUUCCAUUGCGUAGGAGCUAACACCUCGCAACUGGAGAGCGGCGCGGCCACGCCGUAAAACACCCAACUUCUGAAUGUUGACCUCGAAUCAGGUAGGAAUACCCGCUGAACUUAAGC
rnacentral:misc_RNA from 1 species